AAUCGAUGAAAAAUCUUGUUUGGUUGUUUUCUUUUUUUUUUUUUCCUCUCUUCUUCGUGUGUAGGAAGAACACAUUGAAGUUUUUUCCCUCUUUAACUCGAGGCAUGUAUAAACUGCGACAAAACUGAACAAUAAAAUUCGUUAUCAACAUCUCGUGCUGCAGAAUAUUACCGCCCACAACGCCUUUUACUCUUUCGAGUAAUUGGCGGUAGAAUCGCGCAUGCUCGUGUAAUAUUCUCUCUUCCGUUUCCGGUCGAAUUUUUUUUUUUUUUUUUUUUUUUAACAUAAAGUAAAAAAAAAAUAACAAUAAAUAAUUUACUUCACAUUUAUAUAUGCGCAUAUAAUUUUAAGCGUUACGUUAGAAGCGUACCAGAGUUUUAUAGGAGGAGGUGGAUUUCUGAUUAAAGGAACAUUUUGUUAAUGCUUUCUACAGAAAGAAAAGAGAGAGAGAGAGAACAAGAGAGAGCGAGAGAGAGAGAGAGAGAGAGAAAAAAAAAAUACGUUGCGUCAUCGCAUAAAUUCGCCCAUUCAGUAUAUAAUUCUAUCGAUUUUUCUGUGCAGAUCAUUAAAAUACUGUUAGAGAUUUAUAGUGGCUUCGGUAAUGAAUUAAGAAUCUGGCCGAAUUCUUUGUGAAAAAUGAUGCUGUUCGAGCGUCCGAAUUUUUGACAUCGUAUGACCUAUUUCUGACGGAAAAGAGAGAGCCAUAAGCUAUUUCUGUGUGUAUAUGUUGUGUGUGUAUGUGUGUGUAUAUGCGACUGUUCGUGACUCCACUUUUUCGAAUUUCAAAACUCGAUAGUCAUUAAUAAUUAUAAGAGUUAAACAAUUUUCGAUCUGACCAGUAGAGGGGGAGGAAUAAAAGAAAAAAAAAAAAAAGUCGGCCAUUGUAACGGCGUUUUUAAACCUCUUUCCUCCUCGGUUUGCGUUGGACUCGUCGAUGCCAAAUUGGUCACGUGACGCGAGGGAGGAAGGGAAUGUCGAAGGCUGAAAAAUCAUUUGGUUUUCGCUAAUUGCGACUUUGUCGCGCAUUGAAUACAAACGGGUUAAAAAGGUAUUCGUAUUUUUAUCGGCGUAACGUUUUGGGCGUGCCCUAUGAUAGUUGCUGUACGUAGGGAAAUAUUGUUACGUACGUGAUAAGAAUGAUCAAAUCGCAUAUAUAUAUACAAAAAUGCUUUUUAUUUUCUUUCCUGAUAGAAUAAGCAUCCUACGAAAUGGUUACAUCCCUCGACUGGAAAAACAAAUUAAAUAGGAGUACAGGUUUUUUUUUUUUUUUUUUAAUCUCUUCA
rnacentral:lncRNA from 1 species